AUUUGAUCAAUGAUUCUCAUCAUUGAUGUUUCUAACUCUUCCUCUCCUUUUCUUUAUGAAAUCAAUAAAAAAAAAAAGUUUAAAAAUAAUAAAAUUAAAAAAAAUAAAAAUAUAUCUAUAUAUACUUUUAUUCUGAUUUUAAAUGUGGAAAGGAAAGGAGAGGGAGAGAGACAGACAAACAUCCAUGAGAAGAAACAAGAAUCAGUUCCCUCCUGCAUGACCGCUACGGGAAUCCAGUCCCAUCCCCAGGCAGGGGACUUGACUGGGACUGACUCCUCCGCUUAGAGUUCCACUCAGCUCACCUCAUGUACCUUCCAGUGUCAGGUCCUGCAGCCCAGGCCUCAGCUUACAGAACGGGAGUGCCAGCAUUGGUGCUUGUGAACAAGAGAGACGUUGUCUGAGGUGGGAUUCUAACCUUUUCCCAGAACUGCUGAGAGGAAGAACGAGAAGACUGGCAGAGAGAGGACAGCACUAGGGGCAGAAAGAAGUCCUGUAAAUGAAUAUGAACUUUGAGGACGUGGCCAUUGCCUUCUCCCAGGAGGAGUGGGAGCUCCUGGAUGAGGCUCAGAGACUUCUGUACUGCGAUGUGAUGCUGGAAGUGUUUGCACUGGUCUCAUCUGUCGGUUGUUGGCAUAAAAUGGAAGAUAAGGCAACACAUUUUGAGCGGAAUGUACCUCUACAAGGAGAGUCACAGGUCAGGGCUUCUGAGACAGCUCCAGCUACUCAGAGGACCCAUCUCUGUAAGAAGUGCUUCUCGGUGUUAAAAGAUAUCCUGCACCCGACUGAGUCACGAGCAGCAGACUUUGAGCCGAAAGCCUUCUUCAGUGACGCAUGUGUGAGAGGCUUCUGUUUCAGUGCAAACUCUCAUGAGCAACAGAGGGAAGCCAGUGGAGAGAAGCCCUGGAAAGAAGCUAUGGACAGGGCUUCGUUUGUGAACAG